AAGAAGAGAAGACGGGUGCACAAUCCCAAGCUUGCGGAAGCACGCCGUCUUCACAACUCGGAGACAAAUUGCAGGCGCUACGAACCGGAGCAAGGACUAAUCUUGCCUCAUAAUGAGGCGGUGACCUCCUAUUUGCUCGGAGCAAUAUCUGC